AUACGUAGGGAGCGAGCGUUGUCCGGAAUUACUGGGUGUAAAGGGAGCGUAGGCGGGACGGCAAGUCAGAUGUGAAAUACAUGGGCUCAACCCAUGGGCUGCAUUUGAAACUGCUGUUCUUGAGUGAAGUAGAGGUAAGCGGAAUUCCUGGUGUAGCGGUGAAAUGCGUAGAUAUCAGGAGGAACACCGGUGGCGAAGGCGGCUUACUGGGCUUUUACUGACGCUGAGGCUCGAAAGCGUGGGGAGCAAACAGGAUUAGAUACCCUGGUAGUCCACGCUGUAAACGAUGAUCACUAGGUGUGGGGGGACUGACCCCUUCCGCGCCGCAGUUAACACAAUAAGUGAUCCACCUGGGGAGUACGGUCGCAAGGUUGAAACUCAAAUGAAUUGACGGGG
rnacentral:rRNA from 1 species